rnacentral:rRNA from 1 species
UGGGGAAUAUUGCGCAAUGGGGGCAACCCUGACGCAGCAACGCCGCGUGAUUGAAGAAGGCCUUCGGGUUGUAAAGAUCUUUAAUCAGGGACGAAGAAUGACGGUACCUGAAGAAUAAGCUCCGGCUAACUACGUGCCAGCAGCCGCGGUAAUACGUAGGGAGCAAGCGUUAUCCGGAUUUACUGGGUGUAAAGGGCGCGCAGGCGGGCCGGCAAGUUGGGAGUGAAAUCCGGGGGCUUAACCCCCGAACUGCUUUCAAAACUGCUGGUCUUGAGUGAUGGAGAGGCAGGCGGAAUUCCGUGUGUAGCGGUGAAAUGCGUAGAUAUACGGAGGAACACCAGUGGCGAAGGCGGCCUGCUGGACAUUAACUGACGCUGAGGCGCGAAAGCGUGGGGAGCAAACA